ensembl:snoRNA small nucleolar RNA, C/D box 20
UGGAUAUGAUGACUGAUUACCUGAGAAAAAGACUUGAUGAAAUAAAUCUCAAGAAAAUUCCUCUAGAUAGUCAAGUUCUGAUCCAG